AAAGGUUUGGUCCUAACCUUGAAAUCAAUUAUUACUUAAUAUACACAUGCAAGUCUCCGCACCCCUGUGAGAACGCCCUUAAAUCCCCAUUAGGGAUAAGGAGCUGAUAUCAGGCACAACUAAAAUUGCCCAAAACAUCUAGCUACGCCACACCCACAAGGGAACUCAGCAGUGAUUAACAUUGAGAAUAAGCGACAGCUUGACUCAGUUAAAGUAAAAAGAGCCGGCAAAUCUGGUGCCAGCCGCCGCGGUUACACCACGUGGCCCAAAUUGAAUUCUAUCGGCGUAAAGCGUGAUUAAAGUCAAACUACCACUGGAGUUAAACUAAAACUAAGCUGUGACACGCUUGUGCUUAAGAAAACCAAAAACGAAAGUUACUCCAAACCGAACAACUUGAACUCACGACAGCUGAAACACAAACUGGGAUUAGAUACCCCACUAUGCUCAGCCGUAAACUUUAAAUUACACCAAAAUCGCCCGGGAACUACGAGCAAAGCUUAAAACCCAAAGGACUUGACGGUACCCCACAUCCACCUAGAGGAGCCUGUCCUACAAUCGAUACCCCCCGUUCAACCUCACCACUUCUAGCCUAAAUCAGCCUGUAUACCUCCGUCGUCAGCUUACCACGUGAGCGCAAAUCAGUGAGCCUAAUGCCCACACGCCAAUACGUCAGGUCAAGGUGCAGCAAAUGAAGUGGGAAGAGAUGGGCUACACUCUCUAAUAUAGAAAAUACAAAUGACUAUUUAUGAAAUCUAGUCUGAAGGCGGAUUUAGAAGUAAAAAGAAAACACGAGCAUUCUUUUUAACCCGGCACUGGGGUGUGUACACACCGCCCGUCACCCUCCUCAAAGCCACCACAAAGUAAACAACCAAUAAACGCAACACAGAAGAGGCAAGUCGUAACAUGGUAAGUAUACCGGAA
rnacentral:ncRNA from 1 species